rnacentral:rRNA from 1 species
AAAGAAAAUUUAUAUAUAAAUAAUAAUAUGAUAAAAAGAAAUUUUAUUAAAUUUUUAAUUUUUAUACCUUUUGUAUAAGUGUUUUAUAAAUAUUUUUAUAUUUUUAUGUUCUUGAUAUUAAUAGAUUAAAUGAUUUUAAAAAAUUUCCGUUGUAUAGGAGGUAAUAUAAAAGUCAUUAGGAAUGAAAAAUUUUCAUUAUUAAUUAUAUCUAGAUUCUAUUAAAAAGUAUAUAGUACUUAAUACAAUUAUAAGGUUGUUAAAUCUUAUAAAAUUUUGGAUUUUUUUUAUUUUAAAGUUUAAAUUGAAAUAAUUUUUAAUAAAGUUAUAAAAAAUUUUAUUUAGUAAAAAUUUUAUCUUUUGAUUAAAUAGAAUUAAUUAAAAAUUCUAAAAAUUAUUUUUUAUGUAAAAAUUAGUAAUAUUAAAAAUUAUUUUUUAGGAAUUCGGCAAAAACUUUUUUCAACUGUUUAUCAAAAACAUAGUUUAGUGAUGAAAAAUACUAAAUGAAUUCUGCCCAGUGUAUUUGAAAAUAAAUGGCCGCAGUACCCUGACUGUGCUAAGGUAGCAUAAUCAAUUGGCUUUUAAUUGAAGUCUGGAAUGAAAGAAAUAAUGAAGAAAUGCUGUCUUAAAGAUAUUGAUUUUAAUUUAUUAAAAAGGUGAAAAUACCUUUUUUAAAAAAAAAGACGAGAAGACCCUAAGAAUUUUUAAUUAAUUUUUUAAUGAUUAAUUUUUUGUUGGGGCGACAAAUUAGAAUUUUAAACCUAAUUUUUUUAAACAGGCGAAUUUUUUAAGGAAUAAAAAAUUACCUUAGGGAUAACAGCAUAAUAUUGUUAAAAUGUUUGUGACCUCGAUGUUGGACUAGGAACUUUAUGGCUAGCAGUCAGAAGAGAUUUAUUCUGUUCGAAUAAUUUUAUCCUACAUGAUCUGAGUUCAGACCGGCGUGAGCCAGGUCAGUUUCUAUCUUUUUAAAAUUUUAAUUACAGUACGAAAGGACCUAUUUAAUUUUAAU